GGGCCACAUGCAGUCGAGCGGUAGCACAGAGAGCUUGCUCUCGGGUGACGAGCGGCGGACGGGUGAGUAAUGUCUGGGAAACUGCCUGAUGGAGGGGGAUAACUACUGGAAACGGUAGCUAAUACCGCAUAACGUCGCAAGACCAAAGUGGGGGACCUUCGGGCCUCAUGCCAUCAGAUGUGCCCAGAUGGGAUUAGCUAGUAGGUGGGGUAACGGCUCACCUAGGCGACGAUCCCUAGCUGGUCUGAGAGGAUGACCAGCCACACUGGAACUGAGACACGGUCCAGACUCCUACGGGAGGCAGCAGUGGGGAAUAUUGCACAAUGGGCGCAAGCCUGAUGCAGCCAUGCCGCGUGG
rnacentral:rRNA from 1 species